GUAACGACUCUCGGCAACGGAUAUCUCGGCUCUCGCAUCGAUGAAGAACGUAGCGAAAUGCGAUACUUGGUGUGAAUUGCAGAAUCCCGUGAACCAUCGAGUCUUUGAACGCAAGUUGCGCCCGAAGCCGCCAGGCCGAGGGCACGCCUGCCUGGGCGUCACGC
rnacentral:rRNA from 1 species